rnacentral:rRNA from 1 species
AACGCUAGCUACAGGCUUAACACAUGCAAGUCGAGGGGAAACGAUAUUGGUAGCUUGCUUCCGAUAGGCGUCGACCGGCGCACGGGUGAGUAACGCGUAUCCAACCUGCCCACCACUUGGGGAUAACCUUGCGAAAGUAAGACUAAUACCCAAUGAUAUCUCUAGAAGACAUCUGAAAGAGUUUAAAGAUUUAUUGGUAAUGGAUGGGGAUGCGUUCCAUUAGAUUGUUGGUGAGGUAACGGCUCACCAAGUCUUCGAUGGAUAGGGGUUCUGAGAGGAAGGUCCCCCACAUUGGUACUGAGACACGGACCAAACUCCUACGGGAGGCAGCAGUGAGGAAUAUUGGUCAAUGGGCGAGAGCCUGAACCAGCCAAGUAGCGUGAAGGAUGAAGGUCCUAUGGAUUGUAAACUUCUUUUAUAGUAGAAUAAAGUGAGCCACGUGUGGUUUUUUGUAUGUAUACUAUGAAUAAGGAUCGGCUAACUCCGUGCCAGCAGCCGCGGUAAUACGGAGGAUCCGAGCGUUAUCCGGAUUUAUUGGGUUUAAAGGGAGCGCAGACGGGUCGUUAAGUCAGCUGUGAAAGUUUGGGGCUCAACCUUAAAAUUGCAGUUGAUACUGGCGUCCUUGAGUGCGGUUGAGGUGUGCGGAAUUCGUGGUGUAGCGGUGAAAUGCUUAGAUAUCACGAAGAACUCCGAUUG